AGGACGAACGCUGGCGGCGUGCCUAACACAUGCAAGUCGAGCGGAGAUGAUGUGAGGAAGUUUUCGGAUGGAAUCACAUUAUUUAGCGGCGGACGGGUGAGUAACGCGUGAGCGACCAACCUUGCACAGGGGGAUAACGGACCGAAAGGUUCACUAAUACCGCAUGAGACCACGGUGUUGCAUGACACAGAGGUCAAAGGAGAGAUCCGGUGCAAGACGGGCUCGCGUCCGAUUAGGUAGUUGGAGGGGUAACGGCCCACCAAGCCUAUGAUCGGUAGCCGACCUGAGAGGGUGAUCGGCCACAUUGGAACUGAGAUACGGUCCAAACUCCUACGGGAGGCAGCAGUGGGGAAUAUUGGGCAAUGGGGGGAAAAACCCCCUGACCCAGCAACGCCGCGUGAAGGAAGAAGGUUUUCGGAUUGUAAACUUCUGUCCUUGGUGAAGAGAAGAAGACGGUAGCCAAGGAGGAAGCCCCGGCUAACUACGUGCCAGCCGCAGC
rnacentral:rRNA from 1 species